rnacentral:sRNA from 1 species
AAAAAGCGUUAGGGAUAGCAGCGGCAGCUUUUAAAGCGCUGCAAUUUAUGGCGCUUUAAAACUAUAGCGGAUAGCCCGACCCCAU